ensembl:lncRNA
ACUGGGACCUGGGCACUUGAGCGAGGAGGUACAAGAGUGGAUGGAAUUACUCAGAGGCAGGGUGGAGAGUGACAGAAGACAGUGGACUUCUCUUGAGGAAGAGCGUGGUUGGACAGUAGCUGGGAGAGAGCACAAGGGAGGGUUUGGCAGCUGCAUGGGGUUGCCUGGACCCAAUGCCUGGCUUGCCCUUAGCACAUUAACCCCACUGCUGUUGGCCUAUUCGCACAAGGACCUGACUGACACCGCUGCCUGCCUGGAUUGCUGCCAAAUGUCUCACUCUGUGGGGUGCUGCCAGCCAGCCAGCCAGCUAACCAGACCCACACUGUGCCUCCCUGAUACUACCUUGAAAUCCCUGUGGACCCAGUCACGGUUCCCACUUGGUGGUCUGCCGUGUCUGGGUCCUGGCCAUUGCUCAGCUGGCUUCUCUCACUGGCUCUGAUGUUCAGAAUCUCACUUGCUGUGAUGGGAAGGACCACCCGUGGUACGGAGCACAUGGGAUCUGCCUGCAGGCUUUCUCGUGUGUCUUGCAAUCUACCAGCCCUCCCCGGACACUGGUUUGUACUGAUUUCCAGAGACUUCAUACAUCCUGCCAGGCUCUUCUGUCCAUGGACUUCUCCAGGCAAAAAUACUAGAGUGGACUGCCAUUUGCUUCUUCAGGGGAUCUUCCCGACCCAGGGAUUGAACCUGGGUCUCCGGCCUUGUCGGAAGAUUCUUUACCGUCUGAGCCACCAGGGAAGACUGUAGGACCAGCACAGCAUCAUGAAUCAAAUAGAGGCCAUGGGACUUCCCUGGUGAUACAUGCUCCUAAUGCAGGGGUCCUGGGUUUAAUCCCUGGCCAAAGGGAUUGGAUCCCAUGUGCUGCAACUAAGUGAGGGUUCGCAUACUGCAACUAAAGAUACUGCAUGCCACAAUAAGACCUGGCACAGCCAAAAAA